CUUUGGUAUAUAAAGGUAAAGGCACAAAAUGCCGAUACACUAUAGACCCAUAGUGGAAAAAGAAUAUGCACCAAUGUAUCAUUUGGAACAAACUAUUGCUAAUUGGUGUAAUGGAAUUCUGGGGGAAACAGAUACUUCAGUGAGAACCGCAACAUCUGUGCUGGAUAGACUUAAGAUUCUCAUCACGACGGAAGUGGUAUGCUGGUCUAUCUACAACUAUGAAGCAUUGUAUCCAUCAUUGUGGCUGGAACCAGUCUGUAUACAUUUUUACAGAUUCAUUAUGAAGAACCUUCCACCAGAACAA
rnacentral:lncRNA from 1 species